rnacentral:rRNA from 1 species
GACGAACGCUGGCGGCGUGCUUAACACAUGCAAGUCGAACGGAAAGGCCCUGCUUUUGUGGGGUGCUCGAGUGGCGAACGGGUGAGUAACACGUGAGUAACCUGCCCUUGACUUUGGGAUAACUUCAGGAAACUGGGGCUAAUACCGGAUAGGAGCUCCUGCUGCAUGGUGGGGUUUGGAAAGUUUCGGCGGUUGGGGAUGGACUCGCGGCUUAUCAGCUUGUUGGUGGGGUAGUGGCUUACCAAGGCUUUGACGGGUAGCCGGCCUGAGAGGGUGACCGGCCACAUUGGGACUGAGAUACGGCCCAGACUCCUACGGGAGGCAGCAGUGGGGAAUAUUGCACAAUGGGCGGAAGCCUGAUGCAGCAACGCCGCGUGAGGGAUGACGGCCUUCGGGUUGUAAACCGCUUUCGGCUGUGACGAAGCGUGAGUGACGGUAAUGGGUAAAGAAGCACCGGCUAACUACGUG